rnacentral:lncRNA from 1 species
AGCAGACGUGCACUGCACACACCCUGCAAGCAACUAUGCACACAGAGCACAACAUGGCUGUGCCAAGUUCUAAAAAUGCCUGCACGUGCACAGUGCAUCAUAAAGCCACCUGUGCGUACGCAUAAUGAGCAACAUGGUGGAACACUGCAUGUUGAUGCACACUAAUAGCCGAUGACAAAUGGGAUGGCUGCUACUUUGUCCCAUCAACCAUGCUUGGCCAUGCAAAGUGUGCCCCACUUCCCAUCUACCUUCCUACUUAUCUUUAUGGAUCUAUGCUAUGUGUCAUGCAUAUGAACCCCCUAUUUUACUUAUAAACAGACCUCCCUUUUCCAAUUCCUUUCCCACUUCCCCUAUAACACCCUGCCCAUUACUGUGCUAAAAUGAUUUGGAAAGUCUAUUUAUUCGGGCCUUUGGCUGCCUUAAACUUAAUUAAUUUAUCUUGUUUAACAUUUCUCAUGAUCUAUGAUUUUGAUUUAUCUUUAUUCUUAUCAAUUUUUACUGUAUUUAUUUUAA